rnacentral:lncRNA from 1 species
GCACAGCUGCUGAGAGCCCAGUGUCUUCUAUUUGGUUCAAAGAGGUGCUGGUGCAGACCCAGCAUGGCCACCCCCUUGCCUCCAUAGGCAAAGUUAAAAGUUCUAUCUUAUAAUUGAGUCGAUAUCAAGAGGAGUAUUUUCAUAUUUCCGUAUUAUAUAUUAAAGCAUUUUCUUCUAAGUAAACAUUCAUUUUUUUUUGUCUUCUGAUUUUAAAAGAAAUGGAAACAUUUUCGUGGGUCCUGGGCCCUGCGCCUGCUGCAUCUGAUGGAGAAGUCAGGCCUGCCUGCCCCUCUGCUCCCUGACCACCAACUUCCAUUCCCUCCCCCUCUCUCUCCUCCCCUCAGCGACAGUGCUUCACUCUUUUUUUUUUUUUUUCUUUCUCUUUUCAGGGCUGCACCUGCAGCAUAUGGAAGUUUCCAGGCUAGGGGUCGAAUCAGCUGCUGAUCUAUACCACAGCCACCACAACUUGGGAUCUGAGCCUCGUCUGUGACCUACACCACAGCGCAUGGCAACGCCAGACCCUUAACCUGCUGAUCCAGGGCAGGGAUCGAACCUGCACCCUCAUGGAUACUAGUCAGGCUGGUUACUGCUGCGCCAUAAUGGGAACGCCCGUGCAGUGCUUCACUCUUGGUGCUGGUCCCAUUCUGCAGGUUUUCUCCUCUCCUGGACCAUGAACCCCCAGGUUCUUUUUGCAUCCCCUGGGCUAGAACCAGAGCUGGGGACAGAAUGUUCCCGCUGACUCUGGGCCCCCUGGCCCUGCACUGGGGACAGACCUUCUGUGAGCAGGGGCUUCUUCCCCAUAAGCCCACAGGCAGUUAUCUCCAUCAGGUUCUGCUUUCAGGCUUUCUCCCUCGUUUCCCUGAAAGCUUUAGAGAUGUGGCAGUACAGAGAAGUGACUUUUCUUGGGCAGUUGUGAGAGGUCCUGCAUCUUGAUUGGCACAUGGGGGGCAAUAAUCAGAUGUCCCCCACUCACCCCCCAGCAGGCUUAUAAUAAGCCUUUCAUCUACCCAGGCGCUUUUUUUUUUUAGGGCUGUACCCGUGGCAUAUGGAAGUUCCCAGGCUAGGGGUGGAAUCAGAGCUACUGCUCUGGCCUACACCACAGCCACAGCAAUGCCGGAUCCUUAACCCACUGAGUCAAGCCAGGGAUCAAACCUGGGUCCUUAUGGAUUGUAGUUGAAUUUGUUUCUGCUGCGCCAGGACGGGAACUCUCAUCCAGACCCUUCUUGUUGAACAGCUACUCUGUGCCAGCAAGACCCACCCAGUCUCUGUCCUCAUGGAAACCAGAGGGGCAGAAAAACAGCUAGAGCAUCCUGAGAAUUAUUAUAAGCCCUAGGAGAUUGUGGAUAAGGAGUCAGCUUUUCAUGGACACCAAAGCAGGAAGUGCAGUCCGGCUUCACAAAGGAGAACCAGUCACGGGAAAAAAGUCAUCCUCAGUUGUCACAUCGUCUCCCUCCUCCCUGUUGUCACAUUGUCUCCCUCCUCCCUGUCUGGGGCCCCAGGUCUCACCAUCUGGUAACUCUCUCCUCCCCCAUCCCUCAGCCCUGGCUGCUGCUUCCUGCUCCUCUGAGCACAUGGCUCAGUGAUGGUCACCCCAAAAUGACCGUCUCAGCUCUGCAUCUGUAGGACCUCACGACUCCUCGGGGCCUAGAUUCCCAGGAGAAAAGCUAAGCGGCCUGGCUGGGGUGGCGACCUUCUGGUCUGAGUAGCUGGUGGGGCCAGGUGGGGUCAGCUGAUGGAGAAAGCUGACCCUUCUCAUCUGUAAUGGGGCCUGUUCCCCAGAAGGGUGUGCAGACAGAGGUGGGGACCACUACCCAAAACCAUUUCACAGUUUAGGGUGGCACUUGCUGACUUUUGAAUGUGUGCCGGUGGGGAGAUUUGUUGAACUGAGACAUCUGCCUAAGAUCCCCAAGUUCUAAUUCACUCUCUGUUACCACCAUCAUAUGAUGGAAAACAAGACAAAAUAGGAAGGCCCCAAUGUGGGAAUUUUCAGCAAGUAAUUAUUUUUCAUUAAUUCGUAUAAGUGAGUCAUUAACCAAGGGACCUGCACUGUUCUUGGUUUCUUCAUUUUACCAAAGAGAACUAAGAACUUGGGUCAUAGACCUGAUCUGGUCUGUGGACCCACAUUGGGAACCCAUGGACAUUAAAGAGCCCACGCAGGUCACUUAAUGAUGUCCACAGAACACGGACCUCCCAGCCCUGGGCUCAGAGCCCAAGGUCGUGCACCAUUUAAUGCAGGGCCUCCUCCAGGCAGCGUCACUGCCUCCACCUUGUGAGCUGGAGGCAGUGAAGCUCGGGGCCUUGUCCACAGUGCUCAAGAAGGAGUGGGGUUUGAUUCCAAGUUAUUGGCUCCUUCAGGCGGGUCCUUUGGGGUGAGGGAGAUGGGUGAGGCGCCUCUAAGAGAGGCAAGCCUGUGUCACGGGUGUGCUAGUGGAAUGAACAAGCUGUUCAAAGAGUAACAGGACUCUGGACAGUUCCCCAAAGAGAGGUGUUUCCUUAGUUGGGCCAGGUGAGGUCACCUGAUGGAGACGGAAGUGUUGGCAGAAGGCAGGGGUGGAUGCAGAGCCCAGGCCAGACUUUACAGUCAGGCAGCCAAGCUUGGGCUGCAGGGAAGCGACACCAGCCAGUCUGUAUUUGAGAAAGACAGCCUUAUUUGGGAAUGUGGAGGUUGAACCAACAUUUGCAGAUUAGAAAUCUGUGCUGGAAGACACUUUCAAAGAGAGCAAAUGUUUGGCGUAUGCGGAUGGACUCAAAUUGACUGAUUUCUGCAAAUGCAUUCCUGGUCGCAAGCUACACUAAUGUUCCACCUCCCUGGGGGCAGCCAUGGAGCGACCUCGACUUUGAAUGUUAAUUCCCUUCAUUGGAGAAAACCGCUGGCUUAUAAAAGAACUUCCACCCUCUUCGUGAGACUCCCGUAAUUUAUACAGUGGCUUUGUUUAUAGAGCCCAUGGAGAGCACAGUCGAAUUUAGCAGCUCUGUGGGUGGUGGGUGGGACCUAAUGGCCCGAAAUGACAGACGAGGAAAAAGGCUGGGGCUGCCUUGGGAGCGUGCCCAGAGUCACACGGGUGGAGCAGGAAGGAGGACCAGGCUCUCUGGGCCUCCCAGUCUUACCCCAGUGGACAACUUCACUCCAAGUCCAGAGCCCUGCAGUUAGGUCGCACCUGCACCUGGGAGGGUUCUUCUGCUCUUGGCUCUCCCUUGGCACGGGUCCUUGUUGACUGCUGACUGCUUCGUUUCCUGGGCUGCAGGGACAGUAACACAAGCUGGGUGGCUCCAAACAACAGGAAUGUGUUCUGGAGGCCAGAAGUUUGAAAUCAGGGUGUCAGUAGGGCCGUGCUCCCAUUGAAGGUUCUAGGGGGACAUCUAGCCCUUGCAUCUUCGAAGCUUCUCCUGGCUGCUGGUGGCCCUUGUGUUACUGCUCCAGUCUCUGUCUCCAUCUUCACGUGACCUUCUCCCGGGGCGCCGUGUGUCUCUCCAUCCUUUCUUUUAUAAAGAUACCAGGCAUUGGAUGUAGGACCACUUUAAUCCAGUGUGGUCUCAUCUUAACUUGACUAAUCUGCAGAAACCCAAAAAGGGUCAUGAGUACCAGUCUCUCAGUGUAAUGGGUUGAAUAUAUCUUUUGGGGGAUGACCCUGAGACUGCCUGGUGGCAAGGUCUCUAGGGAACCGUGUCCUCAACCAGAAGGUUCUAUGAGUAGUCACUUCUCUCUGGCCUGUGGGGGUCUCACCUGUCCCCCAAGGAGCUCUGGGUCUUCUGGCCCCUCUGCCAGGAUGGGGCAUUAGGUUGGUUCUGCCAGCUUAGAGCUCAGGGGGAUGGGUUGUGCUGCUCUGGCGUCUGUUUGGGAUGCUGCCAAAGGCUGGAUGCGGUGAGUGGGUAUCUUCGUUAGCACAUCGUGUUUGGGGGAGCCAGGCGGCCCCAGGCUGGCUGUGGCAUCCUUCCUUGGGGUCCUGGGAGGCAGCUGGUUCUUUGCUCCGUCUGGGUAUCAUUCUGACUUCAGGGCAGCCGUGUUUGGGGAGGUGGCACGGUGCUUAGACAUGUGAGCUAGCCUGGUUCCUGCCCCCUCCAGAUCGCAGACAUCUCCAGGGCAGGGACGUCUGGUCAUUUCUGUUUUCCCUCCAGCAGAGUUUUGGACCCUUGGGAGUUGCCGCUUGUUUACAAAUGCACUCACCACGCAGUAGGCAUCCUGAGAUACCCCUGGCGGGUCUCUUCACACCGUGCGCAGUGCAGGGCUGCUGUGGGAUUCCAUGAGCUCGUGUACAUUAAUUAAAACCGCACACUCGAGAAAUGUCAACUCUGGUUAUGAUCUCGGGGAUGUUUAAGGAGGAAGCGGCAGGGCUUGGUUGACAAACAGAGCGUCAUCAAAGAUGGCUCCUCGCUGUCUGGCCAAGGGAUGGGUGACAGCGAGGGUCCCGUGGAAACAGAUCCUAGGAGAGGAUGGCGGGGGCGGGGGGAGGGGGGGAGCAGAGCAGGAGUUCCGGCAGGAGUGCCCUGUUCCGUUGGAAGUGCAGAGGGCUGCCUGGGAUGUUUAGGUUUGGAAGAUGGGAAUUCAAGGUCUUAGGAGACGGGAGCCUGGGGCAGCCUGGGGCUGGGGUGGGCAUGGGGUUGGCAAACCUGAAAUUACCGCCUGCCUGGCCCUUUAAGGAAAACUUUGCUGCAAAGAGUCCAAGUGGCCCGCAGAGCAGGGGCCGUCCUUGUCCGCUCCUUACAGCUGUGACAGUUGGGAUCUGUCCUCCUGCUUCUUUGUGUGGCCUUGAUCCCUGCAACUGCCUGGAUGCUCCCUGAGGGAUGGGGCUGCUUCUGAAAGACCGCCAGCCCCCCUUGCAGCCAGCAGAGUGCCAGAUACAUAGUAAGUGGUUGCGUGUAAGAAGCCUGGACCUGAGGCAGCGGGUUCAAGGGCCGAGUCCCCAACCCCGGCUGUCUUUGUGGGUACUCUCCCUUUCCCAGGGAUCAUUUGGAAAAUUCUGAUGCCUGGGCCUCCUCAGUUUGCCUUAGGGUUCAGCUGGUCUGAGCUGGGGCCUAGGCAGCAGGACUUUUGAAAGCUCACCGCUCAUGCUGCCUCUGGGGCUCAGAUGUGCUACCGAGCACCUGAGGAGCAGCGCGGCUGGGCACCCGCCUGCCUUGCUGGGCCAGUUUCGUCUUUCACUCUGAGGCCCAGCCUUGCAGACAUGAUGCCUGUGGUGGGCCCAGCACAAUGCCUGGUCCAUAGACACCCUGGUGAUUCAAAGCCAAGAGCCGAUAUUUGCCAUGCACAGCCUUGGCAAACUCUGCGUUGGGAAACAGCGGGUUUCUGGAAGAGGAAGAGGAGCAGCCAGUGCCCGAUGGUCCAAAGCUGGGUCAGUGGUGGUGAGCGCCCGUUAAAGGGUGAGUAGGGGAGUUCCCAUUGUGGCUCAGCAGUAAUGAACCAGACUAGUAUCCAUGAGGAUGCAGGUUCGAUCCCUGGCCUCGCUCAGUGGGUUAAGGGUCCUGCAUUGCCAUGAGCUGCGGUGUAGGUUGCAGAAGUGGCUCAGAUCUGGUGUUACUAUGGCUGUGGUGUUGGCUGGCAGCUACAGGUCCAGUUCGACCCCUAGCCUGGGAACUUCCGCAUGUCGCAGAUUCGGCCCCAAUAAAAGGGGGCCAGUAGGGACGUUCCCUUUGUGGCUCCACAGGUUAAGAACCUGACUAGUAUGCAUGAGGAUGCCUAUUCCAUCCGUGGCCUCGCUCAGUGGGUUAAGGAUCUGGUGGUGUCAUGAGCUGUGGUGUAGGUCGCAGACACACUCAGAUCUGGCGUGGUGUGGCUGUGGCUGUGGCCAGCAACUGCAGCUUCAGUUUGACCCCUAGCCUGGGAACUUCCAUGUGCUGCUGGUUCAGCUAUUUAAAAAAAAAAAAAAAAAA